CGGAUCAGGUAGGGAUACCCGCUGAAC
rnacentral:rRNA from 1 species